rnacentral:rRNA from 1 species
UACGGGGGGGGCAAGCGUUGUUCGGAAUUACUGGGCGUAAAGGGCUCGUAGGCGGCCAACUAAGUCAGACGUGAAAUCCCUCGGCUUAACCGGGGAACUGCGUCUGAUACUGGAUGGCUUGAAUCCGGGAGAGGGAUGCGGAAUUCCAGGUGUAGCGGUGAAAUGCGUAGAUAUCUGGAGGAACACCGGUGGCGAAGGCGGCAUCCUGGACCGGUAUUGACGCUGAGUGAGCGAAAGCCAGAGGAGCAAACGGG